UACGUAGGGGGCGAGCGUUGUCCGGAUUUACUGGGCGUAAAGCGCGUGUAGGCGGUACUCUAAGUCCGGGGUGAAAUCCGGGGGCUUAACCCCCGAACGGCGCCGGAAACUGGAGCGCUUGAGUGUCGGAGAGGGGAGUGGAAUUCUCGGUGUAGCGGUGAAAUGCGUAGAGAUCGAGAGGAACACCCGUGGCGAAGGCGGCUCCCUGGCCGAACACUGACGCUGAGGCGCGAAAGCUAGGGGAGCGAACGGG
rnacentral:rRNA from 1 species